rnacentral:rRNA from 1 species
UACGAGGGGGGCAAGCGUUAUUCGGAGUUACUGGGCGUAAAGUGCGUGUAGGCGGUUUGUUAAGUUAAGUGUUAAAUCCUGCAGCUUAACUGUAGUAGUGCAUUUAAUACUGACAGACUAGAGUACGAAAGAGGGAAGUGGAAUUCUCGGAGUAGCGGUAAAAUGCGUAGAUCUCGAGAGGAACACCGGUGGCGAAGGCGGCUUCCUGGUUCGAUACUGACGCUCAAAUGCGAAGGCGUGGGGAGCAAACAGG